rnacentral:rRNA from 1 species
AUUGAACGCUGGCGGCAGGCCUAACACAUGCAAGUCGAGCGGAUGAAGGGAGCUUGCUCCUGGAUUCAGCGGCGGACGGGUGAGUAAUGCCUAGGAAUCUGCCUGGUAGUGGGGGAUAACGUCCGGAAACGGGCGCUAAUACCGCAUACGUCCUGAGGGAGAAAGUGGGGGAUCUUCGGACCUCACGCUAUCAGAUGAGCCUAGGUCGGACUAGCUAGUUGGUGGGGUAAAGGCCUACCGAGGCGGCGAUCCGUAACUGGUCUGAGAGGAAGAUCAGUCACCAUAGAACUGAAGCACGGUCCCGACUCCUACGGGAGGGCGCAGUGGGGAAUAUUGGGCAAUGGGGGGAAGCCUGGUCCAAGCGUGGCGCGUGUGUGGAAGAGGCCUUCCGAUUGGAAAGCCCUUUUAGGUGGGGGGAAGGGCAGUAAGUUAAUACCUUGCUUUUUUGACGGUACCAACAGAAUAAGCACCGGCUAACUUCGUG